UUCGUUUUUUUUCACCCCAUCAACCCCCACCGGCCCUCUGUUCGCCGAUCGAUGAGAUUUAAUAAAGAACAUUCAGGCUAUGUUUGCGUGUGUAUGUAUAGUAUGUAAUUGAUCGUAUGUUAAAUGAGAUGAUGAUGAAAACGUAGUUGUUAUGAUAUAAUCCAAGUCCAGUGUUUCUCAACGUUCUUGAAUUCGCGACCCCUUAGCAAGUA